UACAGAGGUCUCGAGCGUUGUUCGGAUUCAUUGGGCGUAAAGGGCGCGUAGGCGGCGGGGUAAGUCUGGUGUGAAAUCUAGGAGCUCAACUCCUAAACUGCACUGGAUACUGCUCUGCUAGAGGACUGGAGAGGAGACUGGAAUUCACGGUGUAGCAGUGAAAUGCGUAGAUAUCGUGAGGAAGACCAGUGGCGAAGGCGGGUCUCUGGACAGUUCCUGACGCUGAGGCACGAAGGUCAGGGGAGCAAACGGG
rnacentral:rRNA from 1 species